UAUAGUGGCGAACGGGUGAGUAACACGUAAGCAACCUACCUUCAAGACCGGCACAACCAGUCGAAAGAUUGGCUAAUUCCGGAUGUGGCUAUUAGGAGACAUCUCCCGAUAAUUAAACCCAGCAAUGGGCUUGAAGAUGGGCUUGCGGCUUAUCAGCUAGUUGGUGAGGUAACGGCUCACCAAGGCGAUGACGAGUAGCAGGUCUGAGAGGACGAUCUGUCACAAGGGAACUGAGACACGGUCCCUACUCC
rnacentral:rRNA from 1 species